rnacentral:rRNA from 1 species
CUGGCGGCGUGCCUAACACAUGCAAGUCGAACGGAGUCAGAAAGCUUGCUUUUGACUUAGUGGCGGACGGGUGAGUAACGCGUGAGUAACCUGCCUCUGAGAGGGGAAUAACGUUCUGAAAAGAACGCUAAUACCGCAUAACGUAUUGAAGCCGCAUGACUUUGAUACCAAAGAUUUUAUCGCUCGGAGAUGGACUCGCGUCCGAUUAGUUAGUUGGUGAGGUAACGGCUCACCAAGACCGCGAUCGGUAGCCGGACUGAGAGGUUGAUCGGCCACAUUGGGACUGAGACACGGCCCAGACUCCUACGGGAGGCAGCAGUGGGGGAUAUUGCGCAAUGGGGGCAACCCUGACGCCAGCAACGCCGCGUGAAGGAUGAAGGUUUUCGGAUUGUAAACUUCUUUUAUCAGGGACGAAAUCUGACGGUACCUGAUGAAUAAGCUCCGGCUAACUACGUGCCAGCAGCGGC